AUUGUGUCUUUGGGUCUUUCUUCGCUAUACCCUCCGCAAACUCUUUGGCUCGGUGCUCAAUUCCUUCGGACGUUUGCUCUCCCAUCAAGCAUAACGUCACGGGGUCACGGGAAUAGGCAUCAGAUUCAACCAGGGCGAGGGCUGAGACAUCCUCCACUCCUGCGGGGAGGAUUCGGAUUGCGGGCAGAGUGUUAUCCAUUUUCUAAGACUUUGUUGUUGACUUUGCUUGGCCUUUUCCUUUGGGGCAGAUGUGGUCUACUGUGGUUUGGGGUGUUUGAUGGAAGUAUUUGGCUUGUAUUUAUUAAGUGAACAACGAAUGUUCUCAGCCUCCAAUCCGAGUGAAAGCACCUUGACUCCACGGUGUUUUUUAUUAUGGGGAUCAAGAUUAAGCAGAAAUGUAACCUG
rnacentral:sRNA from 2 species